UUCUUUCUCCGUAUAUUCUCUGUGUAUUUUAGAUUUCAGCUUGAACGUAUUCUUUCUACCGGAUCCCAUAACAUCUACCCCUUUCUCCUCCCUCUCCGUCUUCCUCCCUUCCAUUCUCUCUCCUCCGCCGCCCGUAUGCUCGCCGCCGCCGUGUAACCUGCGCCAUCUCAGGCUCUUAGCUUCCUCCCUUCUCUCUUCCCCUCCCUUCCUCCACCUCUCUCCAACAAUCUCUCUUCUCCUCCGUUCUCUCUAAUCUCACCACACCAUACUUCUUAGUAAUCUGAAAUUAGCAUUACAAUUUACAAUAUUAAAAUUCCUAAAACUUCAUAACAAGGAAUUGUUUCACUGCUUUUGUAAGUAGUACAAGCACUCAUGCAGUAGUGUAGUAUUCACGCAGAAGCACAAGCACUCCAUCUAUACCAAAGUAUGUCAGUUUGGUGGAUAGUACGCCGAGCUCCUGAGCCAAACGUGUAGUCUAUUACAUAUAGCUCAUCAAAGGACCUGCAUGAAAAUAAUAAAAAUAAUAAAGAACUCAUCAUUCAGGUUAUGACAUCAUAGCAGCCUUACAAAGUUCAUCGAUGGUCAUGAAAUUAUUGACUAAAAUUUGGAGAACCAAGAUUGAUUGCAAAACACGGUAGCAUAUCCUCCAGGUAGCUGAUAAAAUAUAGAAAAUGGCAAAUGUCGUAUGAAAACUCAACUCAAAACAUCUUAUAAGAAAAGGUAUUCCACAGGUUGUGUCAACAAUCAUUCACAAAAAAUAGAAAAAAUUCUAUGCCUAACGAAUUCUACCGGAAAUAUUUUCCUAAGCCCCUAAAGAAUUUUUUAUGUUAGAAUGCUUGUAACUAACUGAAGCAUAGCAAUGCCGUAGGCACAUAUCGUAUAUUGCAAAAUGCCUUAAAAAAACAAGAGGAGGCCUAAAAAUGGAGGACUUUCUACCAAAAUGACUACGAAAUAAUCUAGCCUGGCAUCAUUUCUGUUCUUUUGAACUAAGACCAAUUAACUUGUAGAUACUUAGAAAAUGGAGGGUCUUGGAUCAAAAUAAAUAUGAAAUAAUAUAGGCUAUAGAUUGUGCUCUUUUGAACUCAAUUCCAUAUACGAGAUUUGAAAACCAGUGAGAUUGAAGGAAGGUUUUGGCUUGUACCUUCUCUACGAGUUAGGCUCGCAAUCAAAUGCGUACCUGAAACAGCGAUAUGGAAAUCAAAAUUAAGCUUCAUGCGAACCAGAACUCGCACCAUGUACCAGCAGGUAUCUUCGUCAAUGAACUCGUUCCUCCAUGGAGAUCCGUAAGAGGUUCACCUGUACUUGCGUCCUCAGUGGUGCAGAGAACUUCAAAGAAGGGCAGCUAACAGAUCCAAUCGGAUGAGUAGAUCUAGAAGAGGAAUGAGCACUCAAGAACUGCACAGCAGAGCGCAAGCGUGAAGAGGGAAGAGAAAUACUCUAGUCGCCGGAGCUCCAAGAAAAUAGCCAGCGUCGGCGAGCAGAGGGAGGGUGGAUGUGGUACAGGUAUAUGGCCCAGGCGAGCAGACGGGUCGUGGCCACAGAAGGGAGGCAGCGUCAAGGUGAGAUUAGAGAGAACGGAAGAGAAGAGAGAUUGUUGGAGAGAGAUAGAGGAGGGGGAGGAGAAGAGAGAAGGGAGGAAGCUGAGG
rnacentral:lncRNA from 1 species